rnacentral:rRNA from 1 species
AUUGAACGCUGGCGGCAGGCCUAACACAUGCAAGUCGAGCGGUAGCACAGAGAGCUUGCUCUCGGGUGACGAGCGGCGGACGGGUGAGUAAUGUCUGGGAAACUGCCUGAUGGAGGGGGAUAACUACUGGAAACGGUAGCUAAUACCGCAUAACGUCGCAAGACCAAAGUGGGCGACCUUCGGGCCUCAUGCCAUCAGAUGUGCCCAGAUGGGAUUAGCUGGUAGGUGGGGUAACGGCUCACCUAGGCGACGAUCCCUAGCUGGUCGGAGGGGAUGACCAGCCAAACUGGAACGGGGACACGGUCCAGACUCCUACGGGAGGCAGCAGUGGGGAAUAUUGCACAAUGGGCGCAAGCCUGAUGCAGCCAUGCCGCGUGUGUGAAGAAGGCCUUCGGGUUGUAAAGCACUUUCAGCGGGGAGGAAGGCAUUAAGGUUAAUAACCUUAGUGAUUGACGUUACCCGCAGAAGAAGCACCGGCUAACUCCGUGCCAGCCGCCGCGGUAAAAC